UACGUAGGGUGCAAGCGUUAAUCGGAAUUACUGGGCGUAAAGCGUGCGCAGGCGGUGAUGUAAGACAGAUGUGAAAUCCCCGGGCUCAACCUGGGAACUGCAUUUGUGACUGCAUCGCUGGAGUGCGGCAGAGGGGGAUGGAAUUCCGCGUGUAGCAGUGAAAUGCGUAGAUAUGUGGAGGAACACCGAUGGCGAAGGCAGCCCCCUGGGCUAACACUGACGCUCAUGCACGAAAGCGUGGGGAGCAAACAGG
rnacentral:rRNA from 1 species